AUCCCUCGAGGUGGUAAAUUCCGUUGCAACCACACACCUUUACGGUCAAAAGAGAUGCAGGAGAGGCGACGCCUGCCGAGGGAU
rnacentral:ncRNA from 12 species